rnacentral:rRNA from 1 species
UACGUAGGGGGCAAGCGUUGUCCGGAUUUAUUGGGCGUAAAGAGCGUGUAGGCGGCCAGACAAGUCUGCUGUGAAAACUCGAGGCUCAACCUCGAGCUGUCGGUGGAAACUGGAUGGCUAGAGUGCGGGAGAGGAGAGUGGAAUUCCCGGUGUAGCGGUGAAAUGCGCAGAUAUCGGGAAGAACACCCGUGGCGAAGGCGGCUCUCUGGAACGCAACUGACGCUGAGACGCGAAAGCGUGGGGAGCAAACAGG